rnacentral:tRNA from 12 species
GCGGUAUCGUUAAGUGGUAAGACAAUAGAUUGCAAAUCUUUUAUCCUCAGUUCGACUCUGAGU